AGUAGCCUAUAUUCUCGAUUCUGGGGGGUUUUGAGUUCUUUGAUUGAUGUUCUAAAAUUUUUAGAAUUCAUCAAUAAUGGGAGCUUUACUAUUCCCACAGGGUUUUGUAUGACCAACAUACACUGGUUUUGUAUAACCGAUAUACACUGGGCAGGUUCUAAAAUAACCUGUGGUAAUGUGCACUACCGUAAAUAAACAAAAGUUAAUCAUGAGAGGCAUGUUCGCCCGAGAUUAAGAAGGGAUAUUAAAUAGGUGCUGGGGGACGGUGAUCUUGUACAAAUAUGAUAUUAACUAAGCGUGGGGAGACAGGAAGGGAAUUCUAUGUGGACAUGAUAACUUGAAUGGUCAAUUGAAUUGUGGGAGUAUUGACCAUCGUUCCGAUUCAAAAAUAGUACUGAAAUAUCCAAAUGAGGAGGAGAGGGAAACCAAAAUCAAGAGGAAUGGGAUGAAAGCCAAAUCUAUAGACAAGAGGUUCCAUGCGAGAGGGAAUGUAGCGACUUUCUUCCUGGGAAGGAGAGGAGGACCAAAAUGCAGCGUGGUUAUUUAUAAACAUCUUUAAUGAAAGAUGAAAACGUGAACACUAUACAAAAUAAGAAAACGUGGAAAAACCGAAACAGUCCUAUCUGGUGCAACAAACACAAAGACAGGAAACAAUCACCCACAAGAUACCUAAAGAAUAUGGCUGCCUAAAUAUGGUUCCCAAUCAGAGACAACGCUAAACACCUGCCUCUGAUUGAGAACCACUCCAGGCAACCAUAGGCGUACCUCAAACACUCAACCCCAUAGACCACAAAACCCCUAGACAAAACAAGACACAUAAUCACCCAUGUCACACCCUGGCCUAACCACAAUAAUAAAGAAAACACAGAAUACUAAGGCCAGGGCGUGACAGUCCACCACCCCCCAAAGGUGCGGACUCCCGGUCGCACACUUAAACCCAUAGAGCAGGGUCUGGGUGGGCGUCUAUCCACGGUGGCGGCUCUGGCGCUGGACGUGGACCCCACUCCAACACAGUCUUAGUCCGCUUACUUCGCGUCCUUAGAUUGGAGAUCCUCGCCGCCGACCUUGGCCUACUAACCUUAACCAAGGCCCCACUGGACUGAGGGGCAGCUCCGGACUGAGGUAGCUCCGGACUGAGGGGUAGCUCGGGACUGAGGGGUAGCUCGGGACUGAGGUAGCUCGGGACUGAGGGGUAGCUCGGGACUGAGGGGUAGCUCGGGACUGAGGGGUAGCUCAAGACUGAGAGGAAGCUCAGGACUGAGAGGAAGCUCAGGACUGAGAGGAAGCUUGAUUGAUGGCAGGUUGAUGGCUCUGGCAGAUCCUGGCUGACUGGUGGCUCUGGCAGAUCCUGGCUGACUGGCGGCUGUGGCAGAUCCUGGCUGACCGGCGGCUCUGGCAGAUCCUGGCUGACUGGUGAAUCCUGGCUGAAUGGCGGAUCCUGGCUGAAUGACGGCUCUGCUGGAUCCUGGCUGACUGGCGGAUCCUGGCUGACUGGCGGAUCCUGGCUGACUAUCGGCUCUGGAGGAUCCUGGCUGACUGGCGGCACUGGUAGAUCCUGGCUGAAUGUCGGCUCUGGAGGAUCCUGGCUGACUGGCGGAUCCUGGCUGACUGGCGGAUCCUGGCUGACUAUCGGCUCUGGAGGAUCCUGGCUGACUGGCGGC
ensembl:lncRNA